rnacentral:rRNA from 1 species
AGAGUUUGAUCAUGGCUCAGAUUGAACGCUGGCGGAAUGCUUUACACAUGCAAGUCGAACGGCAGCACGGGGCAACCUGGUGGCGAGUGGCGAACGGGUGAGUAAUACAUCGGAACGUGCCCAAUCGUGGGGGGUAACGUAGCGAAAGUUACGCUAAUACCGCAUACGAUCUACGGAUGAAAGCGGGGGAUCGCAAGACCUCGCGCGAGUGGAGCGGCCGAUGUCAGAUUAGGUAGUUGGUGGGGUAAAGGCUCACCAAGCCAACGAUCUGUAGCUGGUCUGAGAGGACGACCAGCCACACUGGAACUGAGACACGGUCCAGACUCCUACGGGAGGCAGCAGUGGGGAAUUUUGGACAAUGGGCGCAAGCCUGAUCCAGCCAUUCCGCGUGCAGGAUGAAGGCCUUCGGGUUGUAAACUGCUUUUGUACGGAACGAAACGGCGAGCUCUAAUACAGUUUGCUAAUGACGGUACCGUAAGAAUAAGCACCGGCUAACUACGUG